GAUGAACGCUAGCUACAGGCUUAACACAUGCAAGUCGAGGGGCAGCAUGAAGUUUGCUUGCAAACUUUGAUGGCGACCGGCGCACGGGUGAGUAACGCGUAUCCAACCUUCCCCUCAGUAGGGCAUAGCCCGUAGAAAUGCGGAUUAAUACCCUAUGUGGUCCGAUGAGGACAUCUGAGCUGGACUAAAGGUUUACCGCUGAGGGAUGGGGAUGCGUCUGAUUAGGUAGUCGGCGGGGUAACGGCCCACCGAGCCGUCGAUCAGUAGGGGUUCUGAGAGGAAGGUCCCCCACACUGGUACUGAGACACGGACCAGACUCCUACGGGAGGCAGCAGUGAGGAAUAUUGGUCAAUGGGCGAGAGCCUGAACCAGCCAAGUAGCGUGCAGGAUGACGGCCCUAUGGGUCGUAAACUGCUUUUCCUUGGGGGCAAUAAGGGUCACGUGUGUCCCGAUGAGAGUACCAGGGGAAUAAGCAUCGGCUAACUCCGUGCC
rnacentral:rRNA from 1 species